GACGAACGCUGGCGGCGUGCUUAACACAUGCAAGUCGAACGGAAAGGCCCUGCUUUUGUGGGGUGCUCGAGUGGCGAACGGGUGAGUAACACGUGAGUAACCUGCCCUUGACUUUGGGAUAACUUCAGGAAACUGGGGCUAAUACCGGAUAGGAGCUCCUGCUGCAUGGUGGGGGUUGGAAAGUUUCGGCGGUUGGGGAUGGACUCGCGGCUUAUCAGCUUGUUGGUGGGGUAGUGGCUGACCAAGGCUUUGACGGGUAGCCGGCCUGAGAGGGUGACCGGCCACAUUGGGACUGAGGUACGGCCCAGUCUCCUACGGGAGGCAGCAGUGGGGAAUAUUGCACAAUGGGCGGAAGCCUGAUGCAGCAACGCCGCGUGCGGGAUGACGGCCUUCGGGUUGUAAACCGCUUUCGCCUGUGACGAAGCGUGAGUGACGGUAAUGGGUAAAGAAGCACCGGCUAACUACGUG
rnacentral:rRNA from 1 species